rnacentral:rRNA from 1 species
GAUGAACGCUGGCGGCGUGCCUAAUACAUGCAAGUCGAGCGAACAGACGAGGAGCUUGCUCCUCUGACGUUAGCGGCGGACGGGUGAGUAACACGUGGAUAACCUACCUAUAAGACUGGGAUAACUUCGGGAAACCGGAGCUAAUACCGGAUAAUAUAUUGAACCGCAUGGUUCAAUAGUGAAAGACGGUUUUGCUGUCACUUAUAGAUGGAUCCGCGCCGCAUUAGCUAGUUGGUAAGGUAAUGGCUUACCAAGGCAACGAUGCGUAGCCGACCUGAGAGGGUGAUCGGCCACACUGGAACUGAGACACGGUCCAGACUCCUACGGGAGGCAGCAGUAGGGAAUCUUCCGCAAUGAGCGAAAGCUUGACGGAGCAACGCCGCGUGAGUGAUGAAGGUCUUCGGAUCGUAAAACUCUGUUAUUAGGGAAGAACAAAUGUGUAAGUAACUAUGCACGUCUUGACGGUACCUGAUCAGAAAGCCACGGCUAACUACGUG